UCUACACAUACAGCACUUUGUCAACAAGUUAACAACCUAUAAUUGUGAAGAAAAAGAUGCACCUGGAGAAUUUCGAGAGGACAUUAACCGUGUUUUCAUUGCACUGCUGCACUGGCCUGCAGUCCCACAGUUACAACACUGAAAACUCAAUCUAUUUCCUUGUUACUCAUGAUCCUCCUGGUGAUAUUAAAGGCACAGCACGGUGGUUGACCAAGGAACAGUCACUCUUGCAAUCAGUCUCAGUUCAAAGUAGAGAGAGAGGAACCACAAUCACGCACAAAAGCUUGAGACAUAAGAACUUGUAACCAUGACAGCUGCAUCCUACAAACACUACAGAAGACAGUAACAGCAAUUCCUCCCUGCAAAGCCUGUGUUUACUCAGUUUCCUUUGUAUGCAUUGGCAGUCCCCAUUUAAGUACAGUAUCAGUACCACGACAAAACAGUUUUUAAGGUGUCUUGUCAUCAGAGGAAUGUUGUUGACCCUUCCCUCUUUUCAUGGGGUAAUACAGCAAGUAUUUUCUUUGAUGUGGAUCCUUGAGGCACUGAACAUGUGAACUUUCCAGGACUGCGUUAUUUUAUCUCAAAUAAGGGUCAGGAUUUGCAGGUAGAAAGGGUAUGAUCAACUAGUAAGAAUGGAGGAUUGAAAAAGAUUGACAUGGAAGACGGUUGUCCUGGUUUAGUUGGCAGUUAUACAGACCUGAUGUAGUGGAAAUGUCAUGACCUGAAACGGUGAUUGAGCACCUGGUGGGAAGGCAGGGCCAAUCCAGGGGAGCUCAGGUGCAUGCAAUGCUCCUGAGUGACGAGAAGGGGUGGAGCCAGGAUCCAUUCCCCUCCCAGACCUCAUUUAAGGGUUGGCAGCGGAGGUAAAGGUAUCUUCUGUGGGAGGUUCCUGUCUACUGAAGGUCUUCUACAGGGUUCAGAGAACUGAAAGGAAGGCAACAUCCUUGGAGGGAUUUUCUCAAAGCUGUCACAGGCUUAUUUCAUCCACCACAGAGAAAAGUGAUCCCAGGUACAUCAGCGAGAACUCCUGUGAAACGCACUGACUGCAAUUGACCCCGCAUCCUGCCAAGUCCCAGGAGUGGGACACAAGGGUCUAUUUUUUUUUCCUCCAAGCAGAAAACUAAAAUUACAGGCUUCAAAGGGUCCUGCAACUGUACCAAACAUGAUCCAGAUGCAAGAGUGAAGAAAACAUCUACAAUAUGAUCUAGCUACGGUUCAACCAGCCACAACCGCCCCAUCAGCCUUCUCAGUGCCUCCCUUUGUCCUCUAUCACAGAUGAAUAAAGCGCCUGUGGGAAAUGAUUUGCUGAUAAAAGUAAUUGUAAUUCUUCUUUCCAAAAUAUGUUUGGCAACACAGAAAGCUA
ensembl:lncRNA